rnacentral:rRNA from 1 species
CAGCACCCCAAGUGGUCAGGAUGAUUAUUGGGCCUAAAGCAUCCGUAGCCGGCGCUGUAAGUUUUCGGUUAAAUCUGUACGCUCAACGUACAGGCUGCCGGGAAUACUGCAGCGCUAGGGAGUGGGAGAGGUAGACGGUACUCGGUAGGAAGGGGUAAAAUCCUUUGAUCUAUUGAUGACCACCUAUGGCGAAGGCGGUCUACCAGAACACGUCCGACGGUGAGGGAUGAAAGCUGGGGGAGCAAACCGGAUUAGAUACCCGAGUAGUCC